ensembl:lncRNA
GUAUGAGGGAUGUGUCCAGGUGUUCAGGGAUCCCCAAGGGCCCAAACACAGACUUUACGGUAGAACGAGCGGUUUUUCGGCCAGGAUCCUGGGAGAUUGGACUUCUAUCCCUCAUUCCGGCCUGAGUCUUUUCUUUAGACCUGGCAGCGUCGCACGUUGGAAACGCAGGCAAAUCCGGGCAGCGCGACCCCGUGGGGUGAUGGGCUUGGGAACUCAGCGCUGACCGACUCAAGUGCCCUGGCCAGAAUGCCAGAGCCGGGUGGGGCAGAAGAACCUGAAGCCCCGGCCGCCGGCCCCGACCGGGACUCAGGGCCUGGGAGCCGCGCGGCCCUUUCUCUUCCACAAAGGGCUGAGGCGCAACCGUGGGGCUCAGGAGCAGGUGGCCCUGAGACCGGGUGGGCAUUCCUGGACCUCCCCUACACACGCUAGCGUUCAUAGCUGCCGGACCUGCACUACAGCCGGGCCUCAGCCACGUGGUCGCACCCUGGCCCCGCCCCCGACGUCCACACGCGGUCUGCGCGGGGCCUUGUGGGCUGCACGGCGCCCCCUAGUCCCAGGCCAGGGCUUGGGGCAAAGCCUCCUUGCCCCGGUCACUGCUGCUUUCGGGCCUCUGCAGUCGCAGUGCCUUUGCCCCAGGCCUACAGUCUCAUGAACCCUCCUGCUUGGGCAGGGACAGGUAACAGAGAUAAUAGGAUAAUGGAGGAUAAUGCUGUACCAGGAACUAACAAUCCAUCGGGGGAAACAUGGCCCCAAACAGCAUUCAAGUCCAUACCCUUCUGCUUUAUUCUUAAGGGCAGAAAAUACUGAUGCAGCAACAGCAAUCUAAGCUAAAGAGGCUGGGACGAAGCUAUGAAGAGUGGCAAAGUGCCCCCCUUCAGCCGUCUGGGAGGCGUGAUCGAUUUCGCGGAGGGCGAAAAGAAGAAUCCGAAACCCGCCGGGCGCCUGGGAGAGGGCCGGGAACAGCUCCACGUGAGGAGCUUUGCUCUGGGGCCAGGGAGUGACUGAUUUGAUCUUAAC